GACGAACGCUGGCGGCGUGCUUAACACAUGCAAGUCGAACGGAAAGGCCCCUUUGGGGGUACUCGAGUGGCGAACGGGUGAGUAACACGUGAGUAACCUGCCCUUGACUUCGGGAUAACUUCAGGAAACUGGGGCUAAUACCGGAUAGGAAUCCUUGCUGCAUGGUGGGGGUUGGAAAGCUUCGGCGGUUUUGGAUGGACUCGCGGCUUAUCAGCUUGUUGGUGGGGUAGUGGCUUACCAAGGCUUUGACGGGUAGCCGGCCUGAGAGGGCGACCGGCCACAUUGGGACUGAGAUACGGCCCAGACUCCUACGGGAGGCAGCAGUGGGGAAGAUUGCACAAUGGGCGGAAGCCGGAUGCAGCAACGCCGCGUGCGGGAUGACGGCCUUCGGGUUGUAAACCGCUUUCAGCAGGGGCGAAGCUUGUGGUGACGGUACCUGCAGAAGAAGCACCGGCUAACUACGUG
rnacentral:rRNA from 1 species